rnacentral:rRNA from 1 species
GUAGGUGGCAAGCGUUGUCCGGAAUUAUUGGGCGUAAAGCGCGCGCAGGUGGUUCUUUAAGUCUGAUGUGAAAGCCCCCGGCUCAACCGGGGAGGGUCAUUGGAAACUGGGGAACUUGAGUGCAGGAGAGGAAAGUGGAAUUCCACGUGUAGCGGUGAAAUGCGUAGAUAUGUGGAGGAACACCAGUGGCGAAGGCGACUUUCUGGCCUGUAACUGACACUGAGGCGCGAAAGCGUGGGGAGCAAACAGGGAUUAGAUACCCUGGUAGUCCACGCCGUAAACGAUGAGUGCUAAGUGUUGGGGGGGGUUUCCCGCCCCUCAGUGCUGCAGCUAACGCAUUAAGCACUCCGCCUGGGGAGUACGGUCGCAAGACUG